rnacentral:ncRNA from 1 species
ACGUCGCGAGAAGUCCACUGACCUUAUCAUUUAGAGGAAGGAGAAGUCGUAACAAGGUUUCCGUAGGUGAACUGCGGAAGGAUCAUUG